rnacentral:misc_RNA from 1 species
AAGGAUCAUUAACGAGAUAGGCCCUCACGGGUCGACCUCCCACCCUUUGUCUACCAUACCUCUUGUUGCUUUGGCGGGCCGCAUCGCUACCGGCUUCGGCUGGUAAGUGCCCGCCAGAGGAAAACAUAAACCUUUAUUUUUGAUGUCUUGUCUGAAUAAAUUAUAAUAUUUAAAACUUUCAACAACGGAUCUCUUGGCUCUG